UGGGGAAUUUUGGACAAUGGGCGAAAGCCUGAUCCAGCAAUGCCGCGUGUGUGAAGAAGGCCUUCGGGUUGUAAAGCACUUUUGUCCGGAAAGAAAUCCUUGGCUCUAAUACAGUCGGGGGAUGACGGUACCGGAAGAAUAAGCACCGGCUAACUACGUGCCAGCAGCCGCGGUAAUACGUAGGGUGCAAGCGUUAAUCGGAAUUACUGGGCGUAAAGCGUGCGCAGGCGGUUUGCUAAGACCGAUGUGAAAUCCCCGGGCUCAACCUGGGAACUGCAUUGGUGACUGGCAGGCUAGAGUAUGGCAGAGGGGGGUAGAAUUCCACGUGUAGCAGUGAAAUGCGUAGAGAUGUGGAGGAAUACCGAUGGCGAAGGCAGCCCCCUGGGCCAAUACUGACGCUCAUGCACGAAAGCGUGGGGAGCAAACAGGAUUAGAUACCCGUGGUCAGUCCACGCCCUAAACGAUGUCAACUAGUUGUUGGGGAUUCAUUUUCCUUAGUAACGUAGCUAACGCGUGAAGUUGACCGCCUGGGGAGUACGGUCGCAAGAUUAAAACUUAAA
rnacentral:rRNA from 1 species